rnacentral:lncRNA from 1 species
UCCAUGAGCUACCAGGACCUCUAUAUUAUUACACAUGGUUCGUUUUAUUUCUUUAGGGAUCUUUAGGAAGUAAUUAGAGGUCGUUCCCUACUCCAAAAUGAACUUUGGAACCCUACGUACAUCCUUAAGGAAAUUUGGUGCAUUGUUAAGAAAUUUUGGUACAUCCAAUCCUCGGGCUAUCGAGACCCCUAUCUAUCUUCCCAUGUCCAUACUAUCAUUUGAGGACCCUUAGGUAGUAAUUGAAGGUCAUUCCCCACAUCGGAAUGAACUUUGGCACUCUUGGUACAUCCUUUACAAAAUUUGGUUCAUUCUUAGUCCAUUUUUGGUACAUACUUGAGCUAUUGAAACCUCUAUCUUAUUACCCAUGGUCCGUUUAUUCCUUUAGGGAUCUUUGGGAAGUGAUUGGAGAUCAUUCCCUACUCCGAAAUGGGCUUUGGAACCCUAGGUACAUCAUUGAGAAAAUUUGAUACAUCAAAUCCUUGAACUAACGGAACACUUAUCUCCAUUCCC